CCCCUCUCAGGAUCUCACCUGGAGAGUUGUCAGUACUCUACCAGUCUCGACUACAGAAGGGAGAGUCAAGUAGAGGCAUACCCAUUCCAUUCCUAGUUUGGGCAGUAGCUAGAGAUUGAAGGGCAAUCUGCUACAAGU